rnacentral:rRNA from 1 species
CGAAAGAUGAAAAGCACUUUGGAAAGAGAGUUAAACAGUACGUGAAAUUGUUGAAAGGGAAACGAUUGAAGUCAGUCAUGCUCUUUGGUAUUUAUAUCAUUGAGUGGGGUCAACAUCAGUUUUGAUCGAUGGAUAAAGGUACUAGGAAGGUAGCACUCUCGGGUGAACUUAUAGCCUAGCGUCAUAUACAUUGAUUGGGACUGAGGAACGCAGCAUGCCUUUAUGGCCGGGAUUCGUCCACGUACAUGCUUAGGAUGUUGACAUAAUGGCUUUAAACGACCCGUCUUGAAACACGGACCAAG